ACCCGCUGAACUUAAGCAUAUCAAUAAGCGGAGGAAAAGAAACCAACAGGGAUUGCCCUAGUAACGGCGAGUGAAGCGGCAACAGCUCAAAUUUGAAAUCUGGCUCUUUCAGGGUCCGAGUUGUAAUUUGCAGAGGGUGCUUUGGCGUUGGCUGUGGUCUAAGUUCCUUGGAACAGGACGUCGCAGAGGGUGAGAAUCCCGUAUGUGGCCGCCAGCCUUCGCCGUGUAAAGCCCCUUCGACGAGUCGAGUUGUUUGGGAAUGCAGCUCUAAAUGGGAGGUAAUUUUCUUCUAAAAGCUAAUACUGGCCAGAGACCGAUAGCGCACAAGUAGAGUGAUCGAAAGAUGAAAAGCACUUUUGAAAGAGAGUCAAAAAGCACGUGAAAUUGUUGAAAGGGAAGCGCUUGCAGCCAGACUUGCCUGUAGUUGCUCAUCCGGACUCUUGUCCGGUGCACUCUUCUACGGGCAGGCCAGCAUCAGUCCGAGGGGUUGGAUAAAUGUUCGCUGAAUGUACCUCUCUUCGGGGAGGACUUAUAGCAGUGGGCGGCAUACAACCAGCUUGGACUGAGGUCCGCGCAUCUGCUAGGAUGCUGGCGUAAUGGCUGU
rnacentral:rRNA from 1 species